CUGUACCGUAACUUCGGGAGAAGGUACGCUGCUGACGGUGAUGGGACUUGCUCCCUGAGCGGUUGGCAGCCGCAGAAACCAGGCCGCUGCAACUGUUUAUUAAAAACAUAGCACUCUGCAAACACGAAAGUGGACGUAUAGGGUGUGAUGCCUGCCCGGUGCUGGAAGGUUAAUUGAUGGGGUUAGCGUAAGCGAAGCUCUUGAUCGAAGCCCCAGUAAACGGCGGCCGUAACGAUAACGGUCCUAAGGUAGCGAAAUUCCUUGUCGGGUAAGUUCCGACCUGCACGAAUGGCAUAAUGAUGGCGGCGCUGUCUCCAGCAGAGGCUCAGUGAAAUCGAAAUCGCUGUGAAGAUGCAGUGUACCCGCGGCUAGACGGAAAGACCCCGUGAACCUUUACUGCAGCUUGACAUUGAACUUUGACCUUACUUGUGUAGGAUAGGUGGGAGGCUUUGAAGUUGGAACGCCAGUUCCAAUGGAGCCGUCCUUGAAAUACCACCCUGGUAAUGUUGAGGUUCUAACUCUGCCCCGUAAUCCGGGGCGAGGACCAUGUCUGGUGGGUAGUUUGACUGGGGCGGUCUCCUCCUAAAGAGUAACGGAGGAGUACGAAGGUGCGCUCAGCGUGGUCGGAAAUCACGCGUAGAGUAUAAAGGCAAAAGCGCGCUUAACUGCGAGACCCACAAGUCGAGCAGGUACGAAAGUAGGUCUUAGUGAUCCGGUGGUUCUGUAUGGAAGGGCCAUCGCUCAACGGAUAAAAGGUACUCUGGGGAUAACAGGCUGAUACCGCCCAAGAGUUCAUAUCGACGGCGGUGUUUGGCACCUCGAUGUCGGCUCAUCUCAUCCUGGGGCUGAAGCAGGUCCCAAGGGUAUGGCUGUUCGCCAUUUAAAGAGGUACGCGAGCUGGGUUUAGAACGUCGUGAGACAGUUCGGUCCCUAUCUACCGUGGGCGCUGGAAAUUUGAGAGGAUCUGCUCCUAGUACGAGAGGACCAGAGUGGACGAACCUCUGGUGUACCGGUUGUGACGCCAGUGGCAUCGCCGGGUAGCUAUGUUCGGAAGGGAUAACCGCUGAAAGCAUCUAAGCGGGAAGCCUACCUCAAGAUAAGAUUUCCCUAGGAAUUUAUUCCUCUAAAGAGCCGUUCGAGACCAGGACGUUGAUAGGUUGGGUGUGGAAGCACGGUGACGUGUGAAGCUGACCAAUACUAAUUGCUCGUGAGGCUUGACUC
rnacentral:rRNA from 1 species